AGCAGCCGCGGUAAUUCCAGCUCCAAUAGCGUAUAUUAAAGUUGUUGCAGUUAAAAAGCUCGUAGUUGAAUUUCGGGGUUAGUAGGUUGGUCAUGCCUCUGGUAUGUACUGGUCUCACUGAUUCCUCCUUCCUGAUGAACCUUAAUGCCAUUAAUUUGGUGUUUUGGGGAAUUUGGACUGUUACUUUGAAAAAAUUAGAGUGUUUAAAGCAAGCUAACGCUUGAAUACAUUAGCAUGGAAUAAUAAAAUAGGACGGCAUGAUUCUAUUCUGUUGGUUUCUAGGAUCACCGUAAUGAUUAAUAGGGAUAGUUGGGGGCAUUAGUAUUCAAUUGUCAGAGGUGAAAUUCUUGGAUUUAUUGAAGACUAACUACUGCGAAAGCAUUUGCCAAGGAUGUUUUCAUUAAUCAAGAACGAAAGUUAGGGGAUCGAAGACGAUCAGAUACCGUCGUA
rnacentral:rRNA from 1 species